GGUGGUUCAGUGGUAGAGUGCUUGCCUCUCAUGCAUGAGGCCUGGGUUCAAUUCCUCAGCACCA
rnacentral:tRNA from 1 species